rnacentral:rRNA from 1 species
GUGCCAGCCGCCGCGGUAAUACGUAUGGUGCGAACGUUGUUCGGAAUCACUGGGCAUAAAGAGCACGUAGGCGGUUAAGCAAGUCCAUUGUGAAAUCCCCCGGCUUAACCGGGGAACCGCAGUGGAUACUACUUGACUUGAGUACAGGAGGGGAGAGUGGAAUUCCAGGUGGAGCGGUGAAAUGCGUAGAUAUCUGGAGGAACGCCGGUGGCGAAAGCGACUCUCUGGUCUGUAACUGACGCUGAGGUGCGAAAGCUAGGGGAGCAAACGGGAUUAGAUACCCGGGUAGUCC